rnacentral:tRNA from 1 species
GGUGCCAUGGCUUAGUAGUAAAGCGCCUGUCUAGUAAACAGGAGAUCCUGGGUUCGAUCCCCAGUGGUGCCU